AGGUAAGGCAUUAUGAAAAAAUGUGCAUGCACAAUAAAUCCUUACAUUUUUUUUUCCAUUUUUCUUUUCCCUCUAGGCUAAAACCCUGAUGUUUUGGAAACCUAAAAAGCCCCCGGACAUGACACUAUAUUUUGAGAAGGAGUAUUCUUCCAUAUGGGGGGAAUAUAGUGAGUUUGAAUCUCUUGGCACGGUGCUGCUCAGUAGAAGUCAACGGACAGUUUGAUGUCCAACAGCAUCUGACCCUUCAAUCAAGUGAGUUAAAAAAUUAUUGAAAAGGCAGCUGCUUGUACGAUGAAGGAAGAACUAAAUAUAGAAUAUAUUGAAAGCUGGCCAAUGCUUUGCGCCAGCUAUGCAUUAGUUCAAACUUGAUAUGUAAAUUGAUAAAUCGCCUUUCCUGAAUACAAAUAUGACCACCAGAAAACUAGGCAAAUAAGCAAAACUUAUGUGGGACUGAUUGUGUGUGUGUAUAUCUGUGAUUUUGUAUUUUGUCGUAUGUUGAUCACUUUAGUUUCCUUUUCGGUCGGAAAAGGGCUGAAGAAUCAGUUGGAAUUGACAGCAUGAAGGAGGAGAUAUAGUAACCAACCAAUUCAUUUUCGAUUUUCUGCUAGUACAUUGCCUUUUCAUUGGUUUAUAUAUAUAUAUAUAUAUAUAUAUAUAUAUAUAUAUAUAUAUAUAUAUAUAUAUAUAUAUAUAUAAUAUUAUAUAUAUUCUUGAAUCAUACUGUUGCAGGUCAUCUACCAGCCAUCAAACUGCACAGCUAUAUUUAUAAUAAUAAUAAUGAUGGAUUUAAUUUAUAUAGCGCUUUUCUAGACACUCAAAGACGCUUUACAGUGAAGGGGGGGACCUCACUCUAACCACCACCAGUAUGUAUCACCCACUUGGGUGAUGCACGGCAGCCAAUCUGCGCCAGAACGCUCACCACACACCAGCUUGAGGUGGAGGGCGAGGGAAUUAAUGAGUCAACAUUUACAUUUAUUUAUAUAAAUAUAGAUGUAUAUAUAUUUAUAUACGGAUACAUACACAGUUUGUGAACCAGUCAG
rnacentral:lncRNA from 1 species